GGGGAGAUCAGGGGUGGUGGCAGCUCUGGUCUUCAACCUG
rnacentral:tRNA from 12 species